GGCUGAAAUACUGAACUUUGAUUUUUCAGGUGAACUCCUCCAAAAGCACAAGAUAAUAUUUGAGCCAGUUCAGCCCUGCAGAGACCAAUUUGAGGACACAGUGAACCUCAGCUUACAAAAUAGCAGCUCCAAGUGGUGCCACAUGUAGCUGAUUCUGAUAUGACACUGUGUCUUUGCAUGGCAGGAUGAUGAAGCACCCUAAAAUUAGCUGUCUUACUAUUUCGUAAAGAGCAAGCAGAAAGGUAGCAGGCUGCACUGAGGAGAACAAAGAGGCACAGGAGAGGACCAGAACUGAGGCUCACGCACAGACAGGUCCCACCAGUUCAUGGACACUGUGGAAGAAUAGAUGGGAAUGAAAUAAUUGACUCUGAGGCAUAAAAUGCGACCAGGACUACUUCUGCUGGUAGUUCUCUCUCACAAAUAUGGGACUGCUUUGUGACAGAGAUAUUUCUGUUUGGUAAAGAUGGUUCGAUAGCACUGUUUGCAGCUUUCAUAAUUUAAUUCCAGAUGAGACUAAUGAUUUCACAGGUAUUAACUGAAACCCAGAGGGACAUGAUACUUUAAGAUCUAUUUUGGUGCAGCUAGCAAACGAUAUUUGGUACAGCAUGGACUGUGCCAUUGGUAUCAACUUCAGUAUAGGAGAUCUCUGUUCAAAAAUGGAUUAAAUAUUCACCGUGGAUGAAGACUCCUGGAUAGGUGAAAAAUUAGAUUUUUCUUGCACAGGUUAUUAAGGGCCUCCAGAGAAAUUAUAUGUGAGCUGUCAGAGACUGCAGUGCUUGGAAGAACAUACCUCUGAAUUUCCUACAAUAUAAGUCUCGAUAUUAGCAUUGGAAUUCCAAAAUGUUGAUAUGAUUUUGGAGAGAGAAGCACAGCAAGCUGUACAACAUCAGCAAUCAAAUCCUCAUAACUAUGUGAAAAAAUGGAAUUAUUACUGCUUCCCAGUGCACAAUUUGCAUGCAGAAAAAUUUAAUGACUGCUCACAUUUCUGGAGAUUUUGCAUCCCAAUAAUUAAUAAGCUACCAUUUAGAAAAGGAAAAUUGCCCCUGACAAUGUUUUGUUUCAAUUUAACAACACUGGAGUUGUGCAAGAUGCUGACAGUUUUGCUGUUGAUGUUUUAAUGAGCAACUUAGAGACUUAUCUCCAGAAAAACAUGGGAUAAUUUUUUAGAAGGCUGUUUCUUUGUUUAUUUGGUCUGUCAGCACAGGAAAAAUGGCUUCAUUUUAAAACUCCAAGCUUGUAAGAGGAGGCCAAAGCAACUAUAUAUCACUUUCAAGCAGAAAUAGUAGAGCAGCCACC
ensembl:lncRNA